UACGGGGGGGGCAAGCGUUGUUCGGAAUUACUGGGCGUAAAGGGCUCGUAGGUGGCCAACUAAGUCAGACGUGAAAUCCCUCGGCUUAACCGGGGAACUGCGUCUGAUACUGGAUGGCUUGAGUUCGGGAGAGGGAUGCGGAAUUCCAGGUGUAGCGGUGAAAUGCGUAGAUGUCUGGAGGAACACCGGUGGCGAAGGCGGCAUCCUGGACCGAGAUUGACGCUGAGGCGCGAAAGACAGGGGAGCAAACGGG
rnacentral:rRNA from 1 species